rnacentral:rRNA from 1 species
AGUGAACGCUGGCGGUAGGCCUAACACAUGCAAGUCGAACGGCAGCACAGUAAGAGCUUGCUCUUACGGGUGGCGAGUGGCGGACGGGUGAGGAAUACAUCGGAAUCUACUUUUUCGUGGGGGAUAACGUAGGGAAACUUACGCUAAUACCGCAUACGACCUACGGGUGAAAGCAGGGGAUCUUCGGACCUUGCGCGAUUGAAUGAGCCGAUGUCGGAUUAGCUAGUUGGCGGGGUAAAGGCCCACCAAGGCGACGAUCCGUAGCUGGUCUGAGAGGGUGAUCAGCCACACUGGAACUGAGACACGGUCCAGACUCCUACGGGAGGCAGCAGUGGGGAAUAUUGGACAAUGGGCGCAAGCCUGAUCCAGCCAUACCGCGUGGGUGAAGAAGGCCUUCGGGUUGUAAAGCCCUUUUGUUGGGAAAGAAAAGCAGCAGGUUAAUACCCCGCUGUUCUGACGGUGCCCAAAGAAUAAGCACCGGCUAACUUCGUG